CUUGCCCUCGGCACCUGCCAGGAGGGCUCGGGGCCUUUGUCCCUUUACUCUGUCCCAACAGGAACACCCGCACAUGCGCUCGCUGGCCCACGGGCCUGUGCGGAUGCGGGUUUUUCAGAGCUGGUUGCUACGUAAGGAACUUCAAAGGCUUUUAUGUGCCAGGAAGAUUGGGGAAUGGGGUCCCCCCCGAAGAAGUUGCUCAGGAUGCCGUCUAAGUGGUGUGGGUGUUCACGGCGACCCCGCAGGCCCGGCCGGCCUGGGUCCCAGAACUCGCCUUCUCGGGCUGCUCUGUAGGGUCCCGUGGCCUUGCCCUGAGCUCUGACCCACGCAGGUGCACCUGGGACCUCCGGUGACUUUCUGUCCCAGGGCCUGCUGUCCCGGUGGUCUACCCAGCCUGUGCCCACACGGCUACCUGGGUUGGGGUCCAGGCACCCCCUCCUGUGAGCUGACAGGCCAGGGGGAAAGGAAAGCGCCUCACCUGCUGGAUGACAGCUGGUUAGUUUUUACAAAGAAGGGUUGUCCUGAGAAGCUGCUGAGGGAACCACCCAGAUUUCUCUGUCCGGGCGUUGGGCUGGGAAGGCGGAAGUGUGCCUGCUGCCGGGUGGGUAUGGCAGGGGGUGGGCGCCCGGGCACUCUGGCCCUGGCCCCCAGGGACCAUGUUGGCCUCAGGUCAGAGGUCCAGGACCGGGGGCUCCCUUGCCACUGAUGACCUCAGGUAGGCCUGGCUCCCCCCUGCCAGCCCCCCAUGCCACUCCCUCCCUGUCCCCCGAGGCCUGCCCAGGUCACAGCUGGCUGCUCUCCAGGCCAGCGGUCAGGUGGCGGGAGCCAGAGACAGGUGUGUGCUGGUUGGCGUCCUGACCUCCAGCUGCCUGGCCCUUGCCAGGCGGCCUGCCCUCCCCCCAGGCCUGAGCACUGUUGAUGGGGGCCAAAAAAAUGCAAAUGGGAAGGAUCCUGUGACUGCCCCCCCCGCACCUUGAGGGCUCAGGGGUCCCGCCGGCAGGGGCUGUGCUGCGUGUCUUCAGCGUGUGUGUCUGGGGCGGGGGCCGAGCACGGAAAAACACCCUGAAAGCAGAAAAGGCUUGAACCUGACAGGUUUUCCCCGCGGCCAGGCGUCUAGAGCAGCGGGAAGUGGAGUUUCCAGGGGCCGCCUGUCCUCGGGGCAGCUUCGUGGGGGUGUUCCGGGCGCCGUGGGCCCUGUCCGGCCUCUCCCACCAUCGGCGGGGGGACUCUGGCUUGGGAUUUCUUUUUUCUUUUUUAAUCGAGGUAAGGAGUUCCUGGUGGCGUAGCGCUUAGGAUUCAGCAGCCUCCUGUUGUGGCUCAGUGGGUUAGGAACCCAACAUAGCGUCUGUGAGGAUGCAGGUUCGAUCCCUGGCCUCGCUCAGUGGGUGAAGGACCCGGCGUUGCCAUGAGCUGUGGUGUAGGUUGCAGACGCGGCUCGGAUCCCGAGUUGCUGUGGCUCUGGCUGUGGCUGUGGCUGUGGCCAGCAGCUACAGCUCGGAUUCGACCUCUAGCCUGGGAACUUCCAUACAU
rnacentral:lncRNA from 1 species